AUUGAACGCUGGCGGCAUGCCUUACACAUGCAAGUCGAACGGUAACAGGUUAAGCUGACGAGUGGCGAACGGGUGAGUAAUAUAUCGGAACGUGCCCAGUCGUGGGGGAUAACGUAGCGAAAGCUACGCUAAUACCGCAUACGAUCUACGGAUGAAAGCGGGGGGUCGCAAGACCUCGCGCGAUUGGAGCGGCCGAUAUCAGAUUAGGUUGUUGGUGAGGUAAAAGCUCACCAAGCCUGCGAUCUGUAGCUGGUCUGAGAGGGCGACCAGCCACACUGGAACUGAGACACGGUCCAGACUACUACGGGAGGCAGCAGUGGGGAAUUUUGGACAAUGGACGCAAGUCUGAUCCAGCAAUGCCGCGUGCAGGACGAAGGCCUUCGGGUUGUAAACUGCUUUUGUACGGAACGAAACGGUGAGCUCUAAUACAGUUUGCUAAUGACGGUACCGUAAGAAUAAGCACCGGCUAACUACGUGCCAGCCGCCGCGGUAA
rnacentral:rRNA from 1 species